rnacentral:rRNA from 1 species
CCUACGGGUGGCAGCAGUGGGGAAUAUUUCGCAAUGGGCGAAAGCCUGACGCAGCGACGCCGCGUGAGGGAUGAAGGUCUUCGGAUCGUAAACCUCUGUCAGCAGGGAAGAACGGUCACUGUGCUAAUCAGCAGUGAAUUGACGGUACCUGCAAAGGAAGCACCGGCUAACUCCGUGCCAGCAGCCGCGGUAAUACGGAGGGUGCGAGCGUUAAUCGGAAUUACGGGGCGUAAAGCGCGCGUAGGCGGUAUGUCAAGUCAAGGGUGAAAUCCCCGCGCUCAACGUGGGAACUGCCUGUGAAACUGGCAGACUAGAGUGUGGGAGAGGAAAGUGGAAUUCCAGGUGUAGGAGUGAAAUGCGUAGAUAUCGGGAGGAACAUCAGUGGCGAAGGCGAGUAUCUGGCACAUAACUGACGCUGAGGAGCGAAGGCGUGGGGAGCAAACAGGAUUAGAUACCCGAGUAGUC